rnacentral:lncRNA from 1 species
GGUCACAAUUUGACUAAAUGUCAUGCAAACAGGAAACAACAGAGUCCUGAGCAAGAUGUUUUGAGAGAGAAUUGGGGUAACAGCAAUAAGGAAAAAAAAAUAGUUGGAAGAAGUAACACCUAUAAAGGGAUGCAAACAACCAUAUAAGCAUUCGACAUAUCAUAUGAGCAUUUAAGAAUAGUUCUCCAUGAAAAUAUGCCAGAAAAAUUGGGUCCAAAUUUCAACAAGGAUUUGACCUUCCGUGCCUGCUAGUAGUUUUGUGUGAAAUGUUGGCAAACGGAGUGGGUUGUUACAGUCUGAACAAGGGAAAGAAAGAAAAAUUAGGUCAGAAGCUACGACACCUAGUCAGAACAAUCAGAAGAUUCACUGUAAAAUGCAUCUGUGAAAGGCAUAAGCAAAUCAUGGCCUCAGGAGGAGAAAUAAGAUAUUCUAAACUGAUUAAGUCUGUAUAAGUCUGUUUAAUGCACUGGUGCCCUGACAGUUUGCAGAUUCUCUAUUUUCCUUGAUGUUUAACAGCUUUAUAUUUUAAAAAUCUGAACAACAUACAUUAAACCUUUCCUGAAAUGACUAACUCACAGGACUGCUUUUUCAGUUUCUCUCUUACGGACUCUUUUCACGUCAGUGUGCUUUCAUGCUUGUCAGUACAUGACUAUCUGAAGGGCUCCUGCAAUGCUGAAAGUGACAAACACAUAUCUCCAUAACUAAACCUCACUGCUGGUCAGAAUCUAUCAUUCCUUUUUCUGUCUAUCAUUUUUUGUGGUCUAUGCCUUAGCAAAACUUUGAAAACCACACCUCAGCUCUCUGCACCAGGGGAUUUGCAAGAAAUUUCUACUGAAUUUACAGCAUUCAAAUGAAAUGGGAGUGAGCCAAUAGUCAACCACUUACAUAAUACACAAAGACAUUAUGAUGUUUUACAGAUAUUGUUCUAUAGACAUUGCCAACCAGAGUUUGACAGCGUCCGGCCACCUAAUGGAGAACUGUAUCAACAUAAGAAGUACAUGAGAAGCAGUUUGAUGAGCUGUGCGGCUUCUGUAUUUUACCACUAUCCGUUACUCCUAUCAAGUGUGCAUCUCGGGGGCUACAUAAACCACUACCAAAAGGAAGCCUGCUUAUUCUUAUCAGGAACUUUUGAUCUUCUGCUAUAACUUUUUGUUUUUCUACUUUAGUCCUCUUUUCUUUAACUGCCUUUGCUAUUUUGUCUGCAGGAGAGGGUGGGGUGUUGCUGCUGUUGUUCUUUCCUGUAGGCUUCUUUUUUUUUUAACUUCGGAGAAUUUUUACAAAUUAUCUUUCACGUAGACUCACAGAAAGGGUCAGACCAGAACCUCCCAUAGGACAUCUGUUUAUACUGCUUCCUUUCGUGUAAUCUAAUAUUACUGGCUUACAGAUGAUACAUUUCUUACUUUACAGAAAAAAAACAGCUCCAAACAUUUCCAAGCCUAAAUCGCCCAAUGAAUACACUCCAUGAUAGAUGAGUAAUUGCACAACCCUGUGUUUCACAAAAUGUCCGAUUUUAGACAGUGAGGAAGAAAACUAAAUACUAAGAGAAAAUAGCAAGGUAGAGUCAAAGGCAAAAACAUUAUUGCAAACUUAUCAAGUGAUCACAAGAUCACAAUGAAAAGUUGUGAGGAUAAUCAAUUACAGAAUUCCUGAAUGUCCAUAUACAGAUGUUACGCGUUCGCAUUUGGACUGCAUUCAAUAUCUAGAAAUACCUGCAGUCACCAUCACCUUAGAGGUUCAAAAAUCCAAUAAAUAAGAACUCUUUGAAAGUCA